UGAGCUCUCCUAGACCCCAUUUAAGGACUGACUGCCACUGAGGAAGGAUCUCUUUCUGGAGGUCACUCCUUGUGGAGUUUACUGUGAGCCUAUGACGCUGGUAUCACCUGAUGCUUGUGCUUGACAGUCACUGCCUUCAGGAAGAAGUUUUCAACUGCAUUGGUGGAAUAAACACCCAAAAUGGGGUGCAAAUGGAAUUGUUCCUUCUCUUUAGGAAUCUCAAGUAGGAAAUACCAAUGACAGUGAGGUUAGACCACACUAUGUCUUUUAAUACAAAUUUGACUGACAGAGACAGAGGAGGAUCUGCUCCGUCAAAAUACUGAGGUGAAAAAAACUGAAAACAUCAGAGAGGAAGAUGCAGAAUACCCUAUCCUAUUGCAGUUGUGAAUGCCUCCUCUUAUUUGCUGGUGUCCAUAAGCUUUCCUUUUUCCUUUCCUUUUCCUUCUCCUUUUCCUCCCUUUUCUUACUACUUUUUUCCUAUUUUUUUUUCCCCUUAUUCCUAUUGUUCUUUUUCAUCUUUCUCUCUCAGAACAUGAUAUAGAGUUAUCCAUUAAAAUGUCAUAUAUGCUUAUUUUUGACACCUCUUAAUUCUUUCCUUGUAUUUAGAUAUAAAUUCUCAUUUUCUGGAAAAUUAGCUUAAUUCUAUGGUAAAGGAAGAUUAAUAUGUUCUUUAUGUACCGCCACUUUCAGUUCACUAUAAAACUGCAGCCUGAUCAGCUAUUUCUGUUGGCACAAAACAGAGCUGGACUUUUGCCUGGAGUAGCACAAUCUUUUUAUUUGCUGGAGAAACCUCUAGUCACCACCUGAGCUAUAUGAUACUCUGCCUACUGCUAUGCAGGGUCAUAUUUGCUCGCUGUUUGUGCUUGUGCCCACACCUCUAAAGCUCGGUGAUGUCCACACAUUAUCAUUUCAUUUCUUUUGCUAACACUUCUUUGUACUUCUGGUUUUUUUUUUGUUUCUGUUGGGUUCUUUCCACUUCGUGCUCUCAGCUGGUGCCUGACUUGACUACUUGCUUGCAGUUGUCAUGCCAACUCCAAAGCCUGGAAACUCAAGUAGAAAGAGGAUUUAUCUUUUUUUCUUUCCUUUUUUUUUGUGUGUGUGAAGUACUCACUUCACAGUUACCAGACUGCAUGAAUUGAAUGCGUAAGUACUGGCAAACAGCUCUGUGACUUU